CAUUAGAUAAUAUCAUUAGGUUGGUUCAAAAGUAAUUGUGUUUUUUGCUGUUACUUUCAAUGUCGGAAAGCACAAUUACUUUUGCACCAACCUAAUAAGUAAAU
rnacentral:miRNA from 1 species